GACGAACGCUGGCGGCGUGCUUAACACAUGCAAGUCGAACGGUGAAGCGCCUUCCUUUUUGGUGGGUGUGGAUGAGUGGCGAACGGGUGAGUAACACGUGAGUAACCUGCCCCCUUCUUCUGGAUAACCGCAUGAAAGUGUGGCUAAUACGGGAUAUUCUGGGUCUGUCGCAUGAUGGGUCUGGGAAAGAUAUUGUUUCGGUGGGGGAUGGGCUCGCGGCCUAUCAGCUUGUUGGUGGGGUGAUGGCCUACCAAGGCGGUGACGGGGAGCCGGCCUGAGGGGGUGGACGGUCACACUGGGACGGAGACACGGCCCAGACUCCUACGGGAGGCAGCAGUGGGGAAUAGUGCACAAUGGGCGCAAGCCUGAUGCAGCGACGCCGCGGGAGGGAUGGAGGCCUUCGGGUUGUGAACCUCUUUCGCCAGUGAAGCAGGCCUGCCUCGUUUGUGGGUGGGUUGACGGUAGCUGGAUAAGAAGCGCCGGCUAACUACGUG
rnacentral:rRNA from 1 species